GGGAAAGAGGAUUCAGCUCUGACCACCAGACAACUUGGUGGUGAUCAUUCCUCUAUCUGUCCUCAAACACAAAAACAGUAUUGCAACAGAAGAAUGACAACAGCUCACUUAGCUGUUUAGCAGACAAAGCCUUCAUAGUCUUGAGAGACAGAUGCUGUCUCCUAGAUAGUUGCAACAUUGUUCCGGUUGAUCAGUGACAUGAAGAAUAUGCCUAAUUUGCCAUCACACUGAAUCACAAGUUAAAAGCAUUCAGGGAAUGGCAACUGUGCAGGCACUACUUCUGGAUUGAGGGUGAGGAGAGGAGUCUAUUGAGUCCAAUCAUUUAUUCAGAUGGGAAAGCUGACAGCUCUCACCACCUGCUAGCUGGUGACAGGCAGCAAAAUGAGAACAGUGAGUGGAAGAGAAAGAACAGCAAUUCAGCCCCUUCAGAUAAGGAUGAAAAUGGCUUUGCUUAUGGAUCUUUAGAAGCGUGUCAAUCUCAU